rnacentral:rRNA from 1 species
CUGGCGGCGUGCCUAACACAUGCAAGUCGAGCGGAGACAGAUGGGAAGCUUGCUUCUGUCUGUUCAGCGGCGGACGGGUGAGUAACGCGUGAGCAACCUGCCUUUAACAGGGGAAUAACGCAUCGAAAGAUGUGCUAAUACCGCAUAAGACCACAGCAUCACAUGGUGCAGGGGUCAAAGGAGCAAUCCGGUUAAAGAUGGGCUCGCGUCCGAUUAGCUGGUUGGUGAGACAACAGCCCACCAAGGCGACGAUCGGUAGCCGACCUGAGAGGGUGAUCGGCCACAUUGGAACUGAGAUACGGUCCAGACUCCUACGGGAGGCAGCAGUGGGGAAUAUUGGGCAAUGGGCGAAAGCCCUGACCCAGCAACGCCGCGUGAGGGAAGAAGGGUUUCGGCUCGUAACCUCUGUCCUAUGGGACGAAGGAAGUGACGGUACCAUAGGAGGAGGCCCCGGCUAACUACGUGCCAGCCGCUGC